rnacentral:rRNA from 1 species
GACGAACGCUGGCGGCGUGCCUAAUACAUGCGAGUUGAGCGCUGAAGGUUGGUACUUGUACCAACUGGAUGAGCAGCGAACGGGUGAGUAACGCGUGGGGAAUCUGCCUUUGAGCGGGGGACAACAUUUGGAAACGAAUGCUAAUACCGCAUAAAAACUUUAAACACAAGUUUUAAGUUUGAAAGAUGCAAUUGCAUCACUCAAAGAUGAUCCCGCGUUGUAUUAGCUAGUUGGUGAGGUAAAGGCUCACCAAGGCGAUGAUACAUAGCCGACCUGAGAGGGUGAUCGGCCACAUUGGGACUGAGACACGGCCCAAACUCCUACGGGAGGCAGCAGUAGGGAAUCUUCGGCAAUGGACGAAAGUCUGACCGAGCAACGCCGCGUGAGUGAAGAAGGUUUUCGGAUCGUAAAACUCUGUUGGUAGAGAAGAACGUUGGUGAGAGUGGAAAGCGCAUCAAGUGACGGUAACUACCCAGAAAGGGACGGCUAACUACGUG